ensembl:lncRNA
AAGACAGAAAGAAAGAAAGAAAGAAAGGAGGCUGGCUCGUUAUGUAACAGCACUUGAAAUAAAACAUCUGGUCUUGAGGACACCUGAGUGACACAUGGAGACCAGCCAUCCAGAAACUGUCUCCUGCCCAACUUCCCACUCCUAACUUUCCUUUCCUCCUGACAACUAUCCUUCACUCCCUUAAGGAUUCCAAUUACAUCAGUAACUGAUAAGUUUAAAUUUAUCUGCCCAAUUUCUAUGUUUUAUUUUUCCAAUCCAUCUCUCGGGAACAGCUUUUAACACAUUUGGAUUUUUUUUUCCUGUCAUAAAAUAUUCUAUUUAUUUCCCAGCAGCUGGUGUCAAAAAAAGUUGUUGUUCUCUUUAAAUAUUACUCUUAAAUAAAUAAAAUCUGUUUUCAUAUAAUGUAGAAUUAGUUUUGCCUGCUGUGAGUUUGUGGCAUUAUGAAGUGAUCAUUUUUUUUCAUGCAUUAUUCAGAAGGAGGGUAAAAAAAAGGAAAGGCAAAGAUGACGGACAAUAGCGUGCCAUUCGGUUUGUAUAAAUGCAGCAGCCGUACUAAUAGUUCACUACGUGCAGCACAGACAAAACACUUUCUCUUUGUCAAACGUGGCCACUAACCUUAAUUUAGUAUUUCAGAGAGAGGUAGUGAAAGAUUCAUUUCUUCCCUCGCUGUCCCCCUAUGACUUAUCUAGUGGGGCAGAUAAUAGACAUGUCUUAUUUUGCUAGCAAGAUAUCAGUGUUUUAGACAAGAAGUAUUUGGGAUGCUUACGCUCAGUAUUACAGCUCAGCUGGCCCUUGAUGGCCUUUAAGUCUUUUUUAUAUUUUAUUUUUAACAACCUAUUCUUUGUUUAAACCUCUGGUUUGACAGUGUCUCUCUGUCUUUCAUGAAAAACUAUUAGAAUUGUUAACAUUUCCUCUGGAGUCUUCAUAUUACCCUGUCUUUCAGAACGGCUGUAACUGCAUAGCUGUAAUUAUUCUCACUUUGAAUUCUGACUGUCGUAUUUGGAAGGGGAUGAAGGGUGGGGAUUUUAAUAAAUCACUCAGGCUCCCCAAGGCACAUGGUAUCACACCAAAUCUAAUAUGAACUUUUAAGUCCAUCAAGGGUGAGCAUAUAAUAUUCACUGUACUUCUCUCACUGAUACCUCAUCCAACAUUUUGCAUUGAGACAAUACAUUACAUCAUGUUGUCAGCUUUGGGAAACCAAAUUCAGCCUUUUCUAUCUAUCAACGAUGUAACUUCUUCAGCCAUGGCAGAAAACAAAAUCAAAGUUUGAGCUUCCUUUUUUAUGUCCAACAAAAGCAUUUACUGCUUAUUUAAGACGACCUUGAAAGAAAGUAUUUAGCAAAAAAGAAAAAAAAAAGAGAAAGCAAAUUCUUUCUUUCAAUAAACUCGCUCUCCCCCUGAAAGGCUUUGCUCUGUGUAUGGAUUUUUCAUUUACUUUAAUUAUUUUCAAGUGCCUCUGCUCAAAUUGGUAGGAAUUAAGUAUCCACAACAUCAGUGUAGGUCCUAGUGCUAGAUGUUAUAAACAAAAUGUUCUUCAGUGGCCUAAAUCUGCAUAAGUAGGAAGUCUUGAGAAUUUGGGAAGUCCUUUUCCACAAGGAGUACUUCUGGGGACCCCAUGACCUAUGGGAAUCAGUUCUCAAAGCGUAUGUUAUGGGACUUGCACUACAUAGACAUCACAUCUCUCUAAUCACAAACACAUAAAUCCUUCCUACCAUCUUGUACAAAAACAAGAAUGUUGUUAGCAUUUCAAUGAAGAAAGCUAAAUCUCACCUGUAAGUGGCUGGUGCCAACUACAACAACUGACAAAACAUUUUCACCCAUCACUGAAUCAUGGAAAAUCUUCACUUGGAAGAGACACCCAAGGAUCACUGAGUUCAACUCCUGGCUCUGCACAGCACCACCCCAAAUCCAAACCCUAUGUCUGAGAGCAGUGUCCAAAUGUUCCUUGAACUCUGGCACUUGGGACCAUGGCCACAGCCCUGGGCAGCCUAUUCCAUGCCCACCACCCUCUGGUGCAGACCCUGUCCUUAACCCCCAGCUGCCCCUCCCCUGACACAGCUCCAUGCCAUUCCCUCGGCCCCCGUCGCUGUCACAGAGAGCAGAGCUCAGCGCUGCCCCUCUGCUCCCUGUGAGGAGCUGUAGCUGCCAUGAGGCCUCCCCUCAGCUCCUCUGCUCUGCGCUGAGUGCACCAGCAGACCUCAGCCGCUCCUCACACACCUUGCCCUCCAGACCCUUUCUCAUCCUCAGAGCCCUCCCUAGGAUGCUCUCUUGAACUUUUAUGUCCUUCUUGUAUGGUAGUGCUCAUAACACACAAUGAGGUGACGCCUCCCUGAUGCAGACCAGAGUGAGAAAUACACGAGGAUUUAGUUGGACACAGUAGCCAAGUGUUAUAAGAAAAUGCAGAGAGACCAAACAACUAGGCAUAUAAUCAAAAGCACAUUGUAAUCUUUCAUAAUCUCAGCAAUCACUUCUUUCUCUCACAUGCAGCCAUACAUAUACUCACAAACAGUAACAGGAAUGCAAAAGUUUUUGUCCUUUGUUAAGUGUUCAAAGCCCAGAUAUCUUUCUGGUUAAUAAAUACACACAGUAAAUUCAACAAAAAGAAGAAAACAAGCACUAAGUAAAAGCCCUUGGCAAACUUCAGAUGGAAGAGUUCAGAUGCAAUUAUGUGCAGACAUUCAGAGAAGGAAGAAGAGGAACCGAGGCUGAGGAAAAUGCACACGAUUUAACCAUUAUCCCAUCAUAAGCUGUGGACUUUGCCUUGAACUGAGAUUCCAAAAAUAAACAAUUAACAUUUAAAUCCCCAGCUUUAUUUUCAGUGGUACCCUUUCUCCUGUGGUUACAUGCAUGCUCAAAAACAAAACCCCAGCUAACAUCUACAGCUUUGAGCAACUUUAGCCCUGAGUCCCAAGGAAGAGCUAUCAGUCAAACUUUCCACUGUACCUACAGGUUUCCACUGUCAUGUUCUGAACUGAGGACACAAUAAAACUGAAAAUGCAAUAAAACUAAAACCAAAGGGAGAAGAAACAGACAAAAUGAAGUUAUAGAAGGUGUGAUACAGGCAUCUGGAAAACCAGGAGCUAUCACCUGUGGUAAAUCUUGUUUUGUUAGUCUCCUCACUUUCACUCUGCAUUUCUGUUUGUAGCGCAUACUUUCACAUAAAUUUAUAGCUCCUCUGCAUGUUGCCCAUAGUUACACCCAGUACUUACAGGUAAGCCCACAACUCUCUUACUCCAGAAGGGAAGAAAAUCCACAGUAUGAAGUAAAGUAUGAAAACAAUUCUGCACUCACUGACCUGCACUUGGUUACAUCUUCGGAAUAGUUGCUUUAAAAUACAAGUUGUUGUUGAGGUUUGAUUUAAAAAUCCCUGUCAGCUUUGACAUUCAGGUGAAAGCAUUGCUGCUGGCUCCAGAACAAUUUGCAUAUCUUAUCACUAAAUAAAAUGUCUGAGGUGUGUACCAAUCUGAUGAAAUUAUAAACAAGAGUCCACACAAGCACACAUCUUCCUGUUUGAUUUCUGUCCUUUUCACUCUUCUAUAAUAAAUUAUAAGAUCAUCUCAUUCUAGAUGGAGGUUUAACUGUGCAUGUAAAAAGGAAAAUGAAAGCAGUCUAUUCUUUUUCACACUUUACAACUGAGAACCUGACAAAAUUGUGGAUUUGGUGAACAAGCAGAAAAGCUCAGUUUGUUACAAUCUACUUCCUCUUUAACUGCCACACAAAUGGUAGAAAAUCCAAUGUAUUUAUGUAUCUUUAAAAAGUUUUCCACACUCAACACAAACUAAUACAUAAAACUACACCUCUUUUACUGCUAUGACUAAUAUACAUGCUUAGCUUUAUGUCCUGCAAUUAAUCUCAUCUACUUCAAUAAGAUUACUCAUAAUGCUGUAAGUGAAAUACAUGUGUAAAUCCUUGCAGAGUCAUGGCCUGAAUUGUCAACAGCAUUACAUGGAACAAUUAAAUGCCCAGGCCCAGAAUGGCUCUUUAGAAAGAUUAGAAGAAAUCUUUUGACAUAAGAGGUAACAAAAUCUACUCGAGGGAGAGGCUAUGAGGGGAACAGUAUUCAGGGGAUUGUCUUCCCUUGGGAAAUUCACCCAUCACCAAAUUAUUCCAGUAAUACUAUAUUCACCUUUUUCAUCGACUAGUUAUCACCCUCUCUCGCCCCUCCUUUCCCACUCUCCAUCGCAUCUUGCUAUUGCUGCUUUGUGCCAAAAGAGACAGGAUAUAUGUUUUUAUUCUUUUGUGCAGCAGCAUAGGGUGACAGAACAGUCGGGUCCUCAUUUUGACUAGCUCAAUAAUAAACAGUUCACAUGCUAAUUAACUGAGCUAGAUGCACAGUUGAACAAAUGCACCAACUUUCCUUCUUAACCUAUUACUGAAUUGUUCACAUGCUAGUCUCUCAACCCUCUGACUGCAGAUUACUUGCCCAGUAUACUCUAUGGACAAUCUUUAAUCUGUACUUUCUUUGAGUUCAUUACAAGAAGUUGCUGAUGAAAACAAAUACUAAUUGAAUACCCAAACUGUUUAGUUCCACCUACUGACAAGCAGCUUACUGCCUAGUUUGCUCUGUAAAUAUUCAGAAGUUCUACACAAAAAGUUACUCUCUGUACAUUAUUUAGUGUUUGACUAAAAAUCAUGGCUUCAAUACACACUUCUGCUCGACAAAGUCAAUCCCUUAAAAGUUCAAAUGACUAUUUGUCACAAACAUUUCACCUCUACUAAUGAACUGCACGAGCAAAUGAUAGAAAAUGCAAAGCUGUAUUAUGCUUAGCAGUUAACAUUUUAAUAAGGAGGAGAUUAGCAAUUUUUAAUACCUCCAGUGCUUUGUUAUAUACAGUAGCACAAUAACUGAAUAUUUUAAUUGCUAGUUAUUUAGACCUCAUUCAGUUCUCAGUCAGGCAAAACUCCCAUUGAGGGAUUCUUGCCUGAGAAAAGAGCUACAGGAUUUGUCUUACUGUAAUUUGAAAAAACUUCAUAUAUCAUAAAAACUAUCAAGUUAUGGUGAGACAAAAAUCAUUAAAUCCUUAGCAAUAUUAAACUCUACUGAAAGUCCCACUGACUCCCAACGCCAAUGUUUUUAUAUGAAGUAAAACAGAUAAUUGCAGUUUACCAAUUGUUACUUACCUGCAUAAUUUAGGCCCAGAUAUGCUGGUGCUCUUAACAAGAUCUAAUAAUAUUUUGUCUUCUUAUUGUACCCUUGCUUUUCUCCUGUGGGAAAUCUCAAUUCAAAUGUGAUAGGGAAACAGCAUUUCCAAAUAAUUACACCAUCAACAUCUUCAGAAACCCAAAAAGUAGCAUUUAAUUUUACCUUUUGACUUCGGACUCCAAAAGGGCUGAGAGCAGCUCUCAACACUUCUUCUUUAUGCUGCUGUAAAAAAAAAAAAAAAGAAGAAAGAAAGAAAAGAAAUUUAUUUAAGCUUAUGUUUAGAGAUUUGCACACAAAACACACUGAGUUUUCAUAACAGUCAAAUAACGAGGAGUCAGUGGGGGAAGUGAGCAGAAUACUGUAUAUAUAUCAAUAUACAGCUACCUGAAGGAAACAAAGCAGUCUUACACACCCAUGUUUAGCACACAGGUGAUGAACAAAUAAGUUAAAUGUACUAGCACACAGCAUGUCACAUUCUACGCAGACUUCAGAGAGAAAACCUAUACAGCUGAACACCAAUCCAGUAAGGACCAACUCAUAUGACUUUAUGCUCGAAAAAAAACAAAAACCAAAAACACUUAUUUUUUCCAUUAAGUGCAGUUUUACUCUGGCUAGGAAAAAAAAAAAGAAAAACUAGUAUGUGUGACAACCAAAGUUUUGUCACUAAUGUUUUACAUGCAAAAGCAUUUGUGGAAAAAGUUACAAGUAAAUACUCUAAAAGUUCAAGAGUUUAAAGUGGUUCUUUUAUUUUUCUUAAAAAAAGUGUAUGAUGUCCUUCCAUCUGUCAGCUAUAAUUGGCUUCAGCAACUAAAACAAUCAGAAAAUCUCUCUAUAGGCUGCUUUUUGAAGGAGAAUUAAAAGAAGACUUAGUACUAUGUAACACUAAUUGACAAAGCGUUCAGAACUUGCUACCAAACAGGAGUAUUUUAACAUCACAAAUUAGACUUGGGCACUCUACUUCCACCAGUUCAGAAUAAGGCCUAGGGAUCUAACCAGUAUAAUUUCCAAACUCUGUUAUGAGAGGUUCACUCAGAUUACAAUUCCCAAACCCAGCCCAGCCAGGCUUUGUGCUCUCUCACAGGAACAGCAGGAUCUAUUCAUCACCCCUAAGUACUGAACUUCCACCUAGGAACCCACGGCCAACCUAAUUACCAGCUCAACCAUGGCAGGAAUGGGCUAACUAACCUUACUUGUAUUCCGUAAUGCUUUGCUGGUGAGGGGUUUCCAAAGCUACACACAGACAUUUUAAUCACUGAGAUUUUGACCCCUUUGUCACACUACAGAACUGACUCGACAGCAAUUAUUCACCAUAAACUUGUUUCCCCAGAUCUCAAAUGAUUUGUUGUAUUCAUGGAACUGUAAUCUGCUACCUGCUAAAAGUAAACUGCUAUAGAAAAGAACUGUUCUUUGAAGCAAUCUAGUAGUUUAUUAGGAAAGAAAGAAUGCAAAGCAUUGCUUACUCAAGGUAUAGAAGAUGCAAUGACAGCAGGCCUUCCGGUUCAUCAUUUCCAGGCCGGACUUCCCACCACUUUCUUGCUACUACAGAGGUGUUUCUGUUUCCUUCCUGCCUACACGCUCUUCUUCUCAUACCUGCAGCCUUCCUUUUGUUUUCUGGGAGCAUUCUACCUCCAAUCGUAACAAACAAACCAUGCCCUAGGUUCAUCACUUGAGGAC